rnacentral:rRNA from 1 species
UACGAAGGGGGCUAGCGUUGCUCGGAUUGACUGGGCGUAAAGGGCGCGUAGGCGGUUCGUACAGUCAGACGUGAAAUUCCUGGGCUCAACCUGGGGCUGCGUUUGAUACGUGCGGACUUGAGUGCGGAAGAGGGUCGUGGAAUUCCCAGUGUAGAGGUGAAAUUCGUAGAUAUUGGGAAGAACACCGGUGGCGAAGGCGGCGACCUGGUCCGAUACUGACGCUGAGGCGCGAAAGCGUGGGGAGCAAACAGGAUUGAGAUA